UCUGGGUACCCGCUAGAGCCAUGGAUCAUGACUCCUUUGCCUGGUCACCCAAAUCGCCUCACGGCAGAGGGGCGCUAUAAUGAGGCACACGCAUCAAUGCGAAAUGCCGUUGAGCGGUGCAUAGGAGUCGUCAAGAGCCGCUUCCGAUGCCUGCAGAGCAGGCGUGCCUCUGCCAGACGACCCAGAUGACGACGGUGCACAUGACGACAGCGCACAGGAGCCAGCCCAGGCACAAGUGCCGCUUCAAGUACAGGUGCCACCGCAGGCGCACCCUGUACAGCCUUCUCGAGCUUUGCUUCAAAGAGGCCGUGUGGUGCGUGAAUAUAUAGUUGGUGUGUUUCGGCUGCCCAGAAAUUUGCGCAUUGCCUACCUGCAAAGUGUGCGCCGGCGCAUUCGCUGGCAAAUGAGGCGGAUACAUGUGCAGGUGUAACAUGUUUUAUUUUUCUUUUCAUGAAAGUAAAUAGGCCGUGCACUUCAACAUAACACAUUGCGUGUGCUCGCUCACAUGUGGCUAAUCAUAGUAUGCUGCAUACUGCCGUAGUGAAAAGCACAUGAUUUGUCUAUGUUGAGCAUGACAGAUAGACAUGCAGUGGCAAAUAACGAUGUGCCAUUAUGUUACUCCUUUGCUUUGUUCACUGUGCUUUUGAAUAUUGUCUUGCCAGGGAAUUUUCUUUAAAUAAAGGUUAUUUCCAAGGUGAA